ACCGCCCGUCACACCACGAGAGUUUGUAACACCCGAAGCCGGUGGGGUAACCCGUAAGGGAGCUAGCCGUCGAAGGUGGGACAGAUGAUUGGGGUGAAGUCGUAACAAGGUAGCCGUAUCGGAAGGUGCGGCUGGAUCACCUCCUUU
rfam:Desulfuribacillus alkaliarsenatis strain AHT28 DSM-24608_Contig_30_85X, whole genome shotgun sequence.